AUACGGAGGAUGCGAGCGUUAUCCGGAUUUAUUGGGUUUAAAGGGUGCGUAGGCUGUGCGUUAAGUCAGGGGUGAAAUGCCGUCGCUCAACGACGGAGCUGCCCUUGAUACUGGCGUGCUGGAGUACGGAUGCCGUUGGAGGAAUGAGUGGAGUAGCGGUGAAAUGCUUAGAUAUCACUCAGAACACCGAUUGCGAAGGCAUCUGACGAAUCCGUCACUGACGCUGAGGCACGAAAGCGUGGGGAUAGAACAGGAUUAGAUACCCUGGUAUUCCACGCCGUAAACGAUGAUGACUAACCGUCGGCGAUAGACAGCCGGUGGCCAAGCGAAAGCGAUAAGUCAUCCACCUGGGGAGUACGUCGGCAACGAUGAAACUCAAAUGAAUUGGCGGGG
rnacentral:rRNA from 1 species